UGAGGAAUAUUGGUCAAUGGACGAGAGUCUGAACCAGCCAUGCCGCGUGAAGGAUGAAGGCGUUCUGCGUUGUAAACUUCUUUUGCGGGGGAAGAAACCUUGAUAUUCUUAUCAAGCCGACGGUACCCCGAGAAUAAGCACCGGCUAACUCCGUGCCAGCAGCCGCGGUAAUACGGAGGGUGCAAGCGUUAUCCGGAUUUACUGGGUUUAAAGGGUGCGUAGGUGGAUUUGUAAGUCAGUGGUGAAAUCUCCGAGCUUAACUCGGAAACUGCCAUUGAUACUAUAAGUCUUGAAUUAUCUGGAGGUAAGCGGAAUAUGUCAUGUAGCGGUGAGAUGCAUAGAUAUGACCUAGAACACCGAAAGCGAAGGCAGCUAACGAAUCUUAUAUUGACGCUCAUGGACGAAAGCUUGGGUAGCGAACA
rnacentral:rRNA from 1 species